rnacentral:rRNA from 1 species
AGCGAACGCUGGCGGCAGGCCUAACACAUGCAAGUCGAACGAGCCUUCGGGCUAGUGGCGGACGGGUGAGUAACACGUGGGAACGUACCUUUAGGUUCGGAAUAACUCAGGGAAACUUGAGCUAAUACCGAAUGUGCCCUUCGGGGGAAAGAUUUAUCGCCUUUAGAUGGGCCCGCGUUGGAUUAGCUUGUUGGUGAGGU